GACGAACGCUGGCGGCGUGCUUAACGCAUGCAAGUCGAACGGAAAGGCCCUGCUUUUGUGGGGUGCUCGAGUGGCGAACGGGUGAUUAACACGUGAGUAACCUGCCCUUGACUUUGGGUUAACUUCAGGAAACUGGGGCUAAUACCGGAUAUGAGCUCCUGCUGCAUGGUGGGGGUUGGAAAGUUUCGGCGGUUGGGGAUGGACUCGCGGCUUAUCAGCUUGUUGGUGGGGUAGUGGCUUACCAAGGCUUUGACGGGUAGCCGGCCUGAGAGGGUGACCGGCCACAAUGGGACUGAGAUACGGCCCAGACUGCUACGGGAGGCAGCAGGGGGGAAUAUUGCACAAUGGGCGGAAGCCUGAGGCAGCAACGCCGCGUGCGGGAUGACGGCCUGCGGGGUGUAAACCGCUUUCGCCUGUGACGAAGCGUGAGUGACGGUAAUGGGUAAAGAAGCACCGGCUAACUACGUG
rnacentral:rRNA from 1 species